GAUGAAGAACGUAGCGAAAUGCGAUAAGUAAUGUGAAUUGCAGAAUUCAGUGAAUCAUCGAAUCUUUGAACGCACAUUGCGCCCGCCAGUAUUCUGGCGGGCAUGCCUGUUCGAGCGUCAUUUCAACCCUCAAGCCCAGCUUGGUGUUGGGGAUCGGCACAGGCGCCCUCGGGCGCCCGCCGUCCCCUAAAUCUAGUGGCGGUCCCGCUGCAGCCUCCUCUGCGUAGUGGUCUACACCUCGCAUCGGGUCCCGGCGAAGGCCAGCCGUCGAACCUAACUCUUGAUGGUUUGACCUCGGAUCAGGUAGGGUUACCCGCUGAACUUAAGCAUAUCAUAAGCGGAGGA
rnacentral:misc_RNA from 1 species